rnacentral:rRNA from 1 species
AUGAAGAAAGACUGGUUUGAAAGGAUCUGUAUCAGCCUUGAAGUUGAUCAGUCCAGAUUUGCAAUAGCUGACGCGAUACAUGCCAAGUGGCAGAAGAGAAAAUUGAAAGUGUCGAUUAUUGGUCUUUCAGACAUAGUUUAUAAUGACAUACUACUGAUGGACAAGACAUUUGGAUUUGAUACUGCAAUGAAGUGA